rnacentral:rRNA from 1 species
AGAGUUUGAUCAUGGCUCAGAUUGAACGCUGGCGGCAGGCCUAACACAUGCAAGUCGAACGGUAACAGGAAACAGCUUGCUGUUUCGCUGACGAGUGGCGGACGGGUGAGUAAUGUCUGGGAAACUGCCUGAUGGAGGGGGAUAACUACUGGAAACGGUAGCUAAUACCGCAUAACGUCGCAAGACCAAAGAGGGGGACCUUCGGGCCUCUUGCCAUCAGUUGUGCCCAGAUGGGAUUAGCUAGUAGGUGGGGUAACGGCUCACCUAGGCGACGAUCCCUAGCUGGUCUGAGAGGAUGACCAGCCACACUGGAACUGAGACAUGGUCCAGACUCCUACGGGAGGCAGCAGUGGGGAAUAUUGCACAAUGGGCGCAAGCCUGAUGCAGCCAUGCCGCGUGUAUGAAGAAGGCCUUCGGGUUGUAAAGUACUUUCAGCGGGGAGGAAGGGAGUAAAGUUAAUACCUUUGCUCAUUGACGUUACCCGCAGAAGAAGCACCGGCUAACUCCGUGCCAGCAGCCGCGGUAAUACGGAGGGUGCAAGCGUUAAUCGGAAUUACUGGGCGUAAAGCGCACGCAGGCGGUUUGUUAAGUCAGAUGUGAAAUCCCCGGGCUCAACCUGGGAACUGCAUCUGAUACUGGCAAGCUUGAGUCUCGUAGAGGGGGGUAGAAUUCCAGGUGUAGCGGUGAAAUGCGUAGAGAUCUGGAGGAAUACCGGUGGCGAAGGCGGCCCCUGGACGAAGACUGACGCUCAGGUGCGAAAGCGUGGGGAGCAAACAGGAUUAGAUACCCUGGUAGUCCACGCCGUAAACGAUGUCGACUUGGAGGUUGUGCCCUUGAGGCGUGGCUUCCGGGGCUAACGCGUUAAGUCGACCGCCUGGGGAGUACGGCCGCAAGGUUAAAACUCAAAUGAAUUGACGGGGGCCCGCACAAGCGGUGGAGCAUGUGGUUUAAUUCGAUGCAACGCGAAGAACCUUACCUGGUCUUGACAUCCACGGAAGUUUUCAGAGAUGAGAAUGUGCCUUCGGGAACCGUGAGACAGGUGCUGCAUGGCUGUCGUCAGCUCGUGUUGUGAAAUGUUGGGUUAAGUCCCGCAACGAGCGCAACCCUUAUCCUUUGUUGCCAGCGGUCCGGCCGGGAACUCAAAGGAGACUGCCAGUGAUAAACUGGAGGAAGGUGGGGAUGACGUCAAGUCAUCAUGGCCCUUACGACCAGGGCUACACACGUGCUACAAUGGCGCAUACAAAGAGAAGCGACCUCGCGAGAGCAAGCGGACCUCAUAAAGUGCGUCGUAGUCCGGAUUGGAGUCUGCAACUCGACUCCAUGAAGUCGGAAUCGCUAGUAAUCGUGGAUCAGAAUGCCACGGUGAAUACGUUCCCGGGCCUUGUACACACCGCCCGUCACACCAUGGGAGUGGGUUGCAAAAGAAGUAGGUAGCUUAACCUUCGGGAGGGCGCUUACCACUUUGUGAUUCAUGACUGGGGUGAAGUCGUAACAAGGUAACCGUAGGGGAACCUGCGGUUG